rnacentral:rRNA from 1 species
GUCUACAGCUAUGCUACCCUGAACAAGCCUGAUCCCUUCUGAUCUCGGAAGCUAAGCAGGGUCAGGCCUGGUUAGUACUUGGAUGGGAGACCACCUAUGAGACCAGGUGCUGUAGGCG